GAUGAAGAACGCAGCGAAAUGCGAUAAGUAGUGUGAAUUGCAGAAUUCAGUGAAUCAUCGAAUCUUUGAACGCACAUUGCGCCCCUUGGUAUUCCAUGGGGCAUGCCUGUUCGAGCGUCAUUUGUACCUUCAAGCUUUGCUUGGUGUUGGGUGUUUGUCCUGAGGGACUCGCCUUAAAGUAAUUGGCAGCCAGUGUUUUGGUUUUGAAGCGCAGCACAAGUCGCGAUUCAAAGCUAUACGCCAGCUUCCACAAGCCUUUUUCACUUUUGACCUCGGAUCAGGUAGGGAUACCCGCUGAACUUAAGCAUAUCAAUAACGGAGGA
rnacentral:misc_RNA from 1 species